rnacentral:rRNA from 1 species
UACGUAGGGGGCAAGCGUUGUCCGGAAUCAUUGGGCGUAAAGAGCGUGUAGGCGGUUAGGUAAGUCGGCUGUGAAAGUCCAGGGCUCAACCCUGGGAUGCCGGUCGAUACUGCCUGACUAGAGUUCGGAAGAGGCGAGUGGAAUUCCCGGUGUAGCGGUGAAAUGCGCAGAUAUCGGGAGGAACACCUAUGGCGAAGGCAGCUCGCUGGGACGUUACUGACGCUGAGACGCGAAAGCGUGGGGAGCAAACAGG